UCGCCCGCGACGGCUCCCUUCGGCCAAUUCAGGAGGAAAGAAACCCCAAAGCAAAAAGGCCGUUCCGCCCGUUCCCUCACUGGACGGCGGCGGAGGCUCACGGGCUGCCCACACGCGUCGCCGCCGGGAGAAAGACUUCUUGACAACAGGGAGGAAAAGGAGAUUCUGACUCAGCAACAGACUUGUUGAGACUUGCAAAACGGGAAGAGGAGAGCUUUCCAAGGAUAGCCAAGCCAUCAUUUCAUGCUGCGUAUCCAACCUUUAAGUUAUACCACAAUCCAACCACUUCUCACCACUCCCACCUCAAGCAACGUGGUCCAGGCCACCAUGCUGUCCCCUCUGGAUUGUUGCUCUCAAAUCCUAACCAGUGACCCAGCUUCUUCUCUUGUCUACAGUCUACUCUCCAUGAGGCAGCCGGAAUGCUACUUUCAGACAGACGACAUCAGCUCCUCUGGUGAAAUACUGAUUUAAAUAAAAGUCAGAACAUUUUCAAUAACUGAAAA